rnacentral:rRNA from 1 species
ACGAACGCUGGCGGCAUGCCUAACACAUGCAAGUCGAACGAGACCUUCGGGUCUAGUGGCGCACGGGUGCGUAACGCGUGGGAACCUGCCCUUAGGUUCGGAAUAACUCCCCGAAAGGGGUGCUAAUACCGGAUAAUGUCUUCGGACCAAAGAUUUAUCGCCUUUGGAUGGGCCCGCGUUGGAUUAGCUAGUUGGUAGGGUAAAAGCCUACCAAGGCGACGAUCCAUAGCUGGUCUGAGAGGAUGAUCAGCCACACUGGGACUGAGACACGGCCCAGACUCCUACGGGAGGCAGCAGUGGGGAAUAUUGGACAAUGGGCGAAAGCCUGAUCCAGCAAUGCCGCGUGAGUGAUGAAGACCUUAGGGUUGUAAAGCUCUUUUACCCGGGAUGAUAAUGACAGUACCGGGAGAAUAAGCUCCGGCUAACUCCGUG